ensembl:lincRNA Gm36888 predicted gene, 36888
UGGAGAUGGCUAAGUUGGUAAAUCACCUGCUACAAAACCAUAAAGACCUGAGUUUGGAUCCAGGAACCCAGAUUUCAUCCAUGGACUUUGGAAAUUUUUAUCUUAUUUGGAUAUAACAUAUGAGCUGCUGAUCUGAAGAAUCCCACACCAACAGGACUAGAUCAAGAAAUCACAUUCCUUCCUAAAUCUCAGUGGAGUGGAGCCGACUGCAAGGUGGGGGAGAAGCAGUUUGUUUAAUGACUCUCAAAGAUGUGAAGAAGAAAGGAAGGCAGGAACAUUGGCGAGGCUUCCCUAUCUAUUCUGUGAGCUUUCUCUUCUCCUUUUGUUCUCACCUCAGGACCACCUGUCAUGUGCGUGUGGUAAUGUACAGGUGUAAGUUUCCAGCCUAGUACACUGAGGAAUUAUAAACAUGAAUAUGCCUUAAUCCUAAUGUACAUAUCUUUCCUCAACUACUGUAAUAAGUGCGUCUAAUCAAAUAGAUGUUUAUGUUUGGGUUUUGGUUUUUUUUUUGUAUUUGAUAUUGCUAAGUGGAACUGCCACGACCCAGCUGAUUGCAUCAGAAAGAAACUAUCUCAUAUUUUUUCUAUCUUUCUCCUUAAAUUCUCUGUAUUUUAUAAACUCAAUAUUUUUUAUUUUUACCAUUUUUUAUUUUGGGAUUUUAUCAUCUCUCUACCUAUCCUGAGCUAGUUCUUUUACCUUUCUUUCUCUCUAUUCUAGUAUUGCCCAAAUCCAUCAUUUAUACUUUUAAAAACAAAUAAAUGGCUAUUUUUUCCAUUUUAAUCACUUCAAUGGCUCACCACUUCCCUCAGGAAAAAAAUGUGUUAUAUGUACCUGGAUAAAUUUAUAUCUAAUGCAUUAAUUUUUAUGCUUUUCUCUUCAUCCUGCUGAGUAAGCCACAAUUAAAAACUAAAGUUGAGUAACCUUGACAUGGGCAAUGAUACGGUAUCCAGAGGGAUAUUGAGUGAGAGCAAGUAGGAAAAAAAUCAGUCAUUGAAAAUCCAAUUAGAAAAUCUGAGGGAAAUCACAGGGUUUAGACCCAAACAAGCCUACGCUCCAGGGGAGAUAAAAGAAAAGAUUACAUUGAGAAGAAUGAAAAGGGACCUUUUAGAGUCUUGAAUGCCUGUGCCCUGUAGUGAGGGAAUAAGAAGUGGCAGAGAGCAGGAGGGCAACAGUAAGAGGACAAGGGACAAGCUCAGUGGACUGUCUUGUGGGGCAGUGGGACAUUGCCAACAAGUUUCCUCCUACUGGAGGACACUUUGCCAUCUGACUUUUGUGUUUUCCUUUAUACCAGCUGUUCCUCUCUGCCUCAUGUACAGUGACCUUCCUUCAAUAGCAGGCACACUGCUGUUCAGAUUAGAAGGUGGCAUCUUGCCUAAGAUUUUCCAAAUGUCUCACACAACCUACUUGGAAUGGUAACGCUCCAUUUUCCCUCAGUACAUCCAUAAACCUAGGAAAGAGCCUCUGUGUCAAGAAGAGGACCAACACUCACUGGAGAAUUCCAUUGUGGUUAAAGCAGUCUUCUAACAUGUGGAUGUACCUAAUUCUCCUGCAGUGCCAGUCCCUUCACACGUAGCUAAUCCACUAGAAUUACCUCAAAACAAAACAGACAAGAUUGAGUUCAGCAACUGCUUUCCUUUAUGAAGAAUUUUCCAUUCCUGCUACAUAAAAAGUCACAGUGUACAUACAAAUCUUUUAAUGGUACAUAAUUUUAGAAUAUAUGGCUUUCUUUUAUUUUGUCACAUAUAUGCAAGUAUAAAACUCAUCAAAAUACUUUAGUAUUGUUACUUUCCCAUCAAUUCUCACUUACCUCCACCAAACCUGGCUUUAAUUUUGGGAGGAUUUUGCCUAUCUGUUUGCUACCCAGGGCUAGCACAUUUAAUAAAUGUUGGACAGAGGAAUGAAGGUAAGGAAACAAAUCUCUCCUUUCAGUCCUUAGCAAUCAGCUCAAGGCAGAUUCAGAAGCAGUAAAUUAUCCUGUGAAAUAGUCACUGCUAUCUUCUUUUUCCUCAGGUAAUUCCCCGUUUCCAUCAAUUUAUCCCCUAACUGAAUUUUUACAUUUUAUUUCCAACUCUUGAUUUUGACUAUAAAAAAGCUCACCAAACAUGAUACUAUUAUAGCUUUAAGUAAGGGGCAAGUUCUUUAGUGUAACAGGUGCCAAAGUUAAAUAACUGUAAAUGCUGAGCCAAAUUCCUACCAUCAGUCAAUGUAAUAAGACUUAGAAAGACAGGUGCAUGUGUGCACACAUGCACGCACAUGUGUAUGUGUACACACAUAUACGUACAAAAUCAAAUAUAAUUAAAGCCUAUGCUUUAUGUUGUAAGAAUAUUUUAUAUGCAUGACCAUUCAUUUCUCUUACAUUGUUGGGGAUGAAAAUGAGGAUUUUGUACAUGUGAGCCAAGAACUGUAUCACUGAACUCCAUACCAAGUGAAGAAAUUUCCUAAAAUAUGUAAUAUUACUUGCUUUGAUCUCAUAUAACAUAAGCGUAUACACAAUCAGAACAGUCCUUCUAUUUUCCUCUUCUCUAACUAUACAAAGUCAUGUCCUUGUCCCUAAUUUCUGAAUGUUUCAAACUGUCUUCAACUGAAAGUGUUGUUUUUAUAGAGCACUUAGACACUCAGGCAUUUCGAGUUGACUAAACUCUGAACAGUUAAGGAAAGAUAUUCAGUUUCCUCCUUUUAUUUUCAUCUCCAUGAACCAGGUGACUACAAAAAAGAAAGUUUUGUAAAAUAGAUAAUUACUUGCAGUUACCUC